rnacentral:rRNA from 1 species
CCUACGGGCGGCUGUAGUGGGGAAUAUUGGACAGUGGGGGGAACCCUGAUCCAGCCAUGCCGCGUGUGUGAAGAAGGCCCUCGGGUUGUAAAGCACUUUCAGUGAGGAAGAACGCCUGGUGGUUAAUACCCAUCAGGAAAGACAUCACUCACAGAAGAAGCACCGGCUAACUCCGUGCCAGCAGCCGCGGUAAUACGGAGGGUGCGAGCGUUAAUCGGAAUUACUGGGCGUAAAGCGCGCGUAGGUGGCUUGAUAAGCCGGUUGUGAAAGCCCCGGGCUCAACCUGGGAACGGCAUCCGGAACUGUCAAGCUAGAGUGCAGGAGAGGAAGGUAGAAUUCCCGGUGUAGCGGUGAAAUGCGUAGAGAUCGGGAGGAAUACCAGUGGCGAAGGCGGCCUUCUGGACUGACACUGACACUGAGGUGCGAAAGCGUGGGUAGCAAACAGGAUUAGAUACCCGAGUAGUC